AAUAUAUUAAUUAAAUUCGUAAGGAUAAAUGACAUAUGUAAAUUUUGAAGUUAAAGGAUUACUAACUAACUCAAAUCAAACAAAUUAAAAGGUCAGAUAGUAAAAUCAAAAUUUUUAAUUGCCAAAUUUUCAGAUCAAAAUUGUAAUAUACUGAAAUUUCCGGGUUACAAUGUUAACUUUGAUCUAGGAGAUCAAAGUGAAGUUUGAAUUGGACGUGCAUCUUUCCUGAGUAUUCUGGAGGUGUGGGAAUGAUUUUGGAAAGUAAUUGAAUAUUUCGGUGCAAAUUGGAUGCGAAAUGAACUCAAAAGAGAGUUUUUGGAUUGCGAUGCUAAUUUU
rnacentral:lncRNA from 1 species